rnacentral:rRNA from 1 species
UACAGAGGUCUCAAGCGUUGUUCGGAUUCAUUGGGCGUAAAGGGUGCGUAGGCGGCGCGGUAAGUCGGGUGUGAAAUCUCGGGGCUUAACUCCGAAACUGCAUGCGAUACUGCCGUGCUUGAGGACUGGAGAGGAGACUGGAAUUUACGGUGUAGCGGUGAAAUGCGUAGAUAUCGUAAGGGAGACCAGUGGCGAAGGCGGGUCUCUGGACAGUUCCUGACGCUGAGGCACGAAGGUCAGGGGAGCAAACGGG